GAUGAACGCUAGCUACAGGCUUAACACAUGCAAGUCGAGGGGCAGCAUGGUCUUAGCUUGCUAAGGCCGAUGGCGACCGGCGCACGGGUGAGUAACACGUAUCCAACCUGCCGUCUACUCUUGGACAGCCUUCUGAAAGGAAGAUUAAUACAAGAUGGCAUCAUGAGUCCGCAUGUUCACAUGAUUAAAGGUAUUCCGGUAGACGAUGGGGAUGCGUUCCAUUAGAUAGUAGGCGGGGUAACGGCCCACCUAGUCUUCGAUGGAUAGGGGUUCUGAGAGGAAGGUCCCCCACGUUGGAACUGAGACACGGUCCAAACUCCUACGGGAGGCAGCAGUGAGGAAUAUUGGUCAAUGGGCGAGAGCCUGAACCAGCCAAGUAGCGUGAAGGACGACUGCCCUAUGGGUUGUAAACUUCUUUUAUAAAGGAAUAAAGUCGGGUAGGGAUACCCGUUUGCAUGUACUUUAUGAAUAAGGAUCGGCUAACUCCGUG
rnacentral:rRNA from 1 species